AAAAAAAGGGUAAACAGCCAAGUGUGGAUCUGGUAACGAUACACAGCUUGAAGUUGCCAACUUGAAGGUGAAAUGGAUUAUUGCAAGAAAGAAGGAAAGGUCAGAGAACUCAUUGUGACUGCUUAAGUGGUGAAAAGAAGCAGAAUGAAGCAAUGAAGUCCAUGGAACAUACCUUCACCAAUGGAUUAAUAACACCAACAUUAGGGCUUGCAUUAAACACUUUGUUGUAGUUAGUC